GGAGGAGCGCGCCUUCUGGGGCGGGAUUCAGGACAGGUUCGCGGGAGGGAGGAUCAGACGCUGAAGUCCUCUGCCCACUCUUGCUGUUAGCGGUGAGCUUUGGGAGCCACCCCCCACCCCCGGAAGCCUUCCAUGGGUCAGCCGGAGAUGGAGAUGGACCCGGCCUCAUGUCUACAGACACUUGCUGUGUAACCAAGGCACCUACCACAGAUUGCCCACAGGCUGGGCUUCCAGACAUCGCUGUCGCGGGGUUCAUUCGUGCACACUUGUAUCCAAACUUCAGCUGCCUUUCCCACCUGCCACUUAGCCACUUCCUGAGUUCCAGCUUCCCAGGUCUUCCGCCUCAUCACCUUGUCACAAACCAGUGUUCCUUGCAGUCUUAGCUGUUGCUACCAUUACCUCCUAUGCCACCCUUCCACAGGAGACUCCACACACUCUCGUUACCUGUGACCACUGUGUAGUCAGUCCCUGGCUGACUUCAGAUCCAAACCCUUCACCUUCAGCUUGGCAUUCAAGGCAGUUUGAAAUGUAGAUCCAGUCCCAGGCUGGCUGGUGCUAUUGAGAAAUGGAUUUCACCCCGGGCAGUCA
rnacentral:lncRNA from 1 species